AAAAAGCCCUAUCGUGAAAAACUAGUGAUUUCAUAAACCAUAAAGUGGUUUAUGAAAUCACUAGUUUUUCACGAUAGGGCUUUUU